rnacentral:rRNA from 1 species
UACGGAGGUUGCGAGCGUUGUUCGGAAUGACUGGGCGUAAAGGGAGCGCAGGCGGUUUGGCAAGUCUAAAGUGGAAGCCCGGGGCUUAACCUCGGAAGUGCUUUGGAUACUGCCUGACUUGAGUUCGUGAGAGGAAAGCGGAAUUCCAGGUGUAGCGGUGAAAUGCGUAGAUAUCUGGAGGAACACCGGUGGCGAAAGCGGCUUUCUGGCACGAUACUGACGCUGAGGCUCGAAAGCAUGGGGAGCGAACAGG